rnacentral:rRNA from 1 species
GAUGAACGCUGGCGGCGUGCCUAACACAUGCAAGUCGAACGAGAUGCGUAUCGGAAAGCUUCGGCCGGAAGAUACGUUAUCUAGUGGCGGACGGGUGAGUAACACGUGGGUAACCUGCCUUAUGGAGGGGGAUAACAGAGAGAAAUCACUGCUAAUACCGCAUAAGCACACAGUACCGCAUGGUACAGGGUGAAAAGAUUUAUCGCCAUAAGAUGGACCCGCGUCUGAUUAGCCAGUUGGCAGGGUAAAAGCCUACCAAAGCAACGAUCAGUAGCCGAUCUGAGAGGAUGACCGGCCACAUUGGGACUGAGACACGGCCCAAACUCCUACGGGAGGCAGCAGUGGGGAAUAUUGCACAAUGGGGGAAACCCUGAUGCAGCGACGCCGCGUGAGUGAAGAAGUAUUUCGGUAUGUAAAGCUCUAUCAGCAGGGAAGAUAAUGACAGUACCUGACUAAGAAGCCCCGGCUAACUACGUGCCAGCAGCCGCGGUAAUACGUAGGGGGCAAGCGUUAUCCGGAUUUACUGGGUGUAAAGGGAGCGUAGACGGAAUGGCAAGUCUGAAGUGAAAUACCCGGGCUCAACCUGGGAACUGCUUUGGAAACUGUUGUUCUAGAGUGUUGGAGAGGUAAGUGGAAUUCCUGGUGUAGCGGUGAAAUGCGUAGAUAUCAGGAAGAACACCGGAGGCGAAGGCGGCUUACUGGACAAUAACUGACGUUGAGGCUCGAAAGCGUGGGGAUCAAACAGGAUUAUAUACCCUGGUAGUCCAAAGGGCGAAUUCCACAGUGGAUAUCAAGCUUAUCGAUACCGUCGACCUCGAGGGGGGCCCGGUACCCAGCUUUGUUCCCUUUAUGAGGGGUUAAUUACAGGGGUGUGGUGAAGUUUUUCGCUGUCUGGGUGGUGACUUGAAUAUGCACUUGUGUGGUAUGCUGUGUUGUGUGCCAAUGUGCUCGUCGCUGACUGUGAGUGAACUGUUGUUGUGUGUGUGUACGUGUGUUAGUGAUAUGUGUGUCUCGAGAUGUGUAGUAUAGUGUGAUGUAUGUGUGUCUGUGUUGUCUUGGUGUCUUUGUUUGCGUGAGUGAUGUGUGUGGGUGUGAUGGGUUGAUGAUGCUGUUUUGUGUA